rnacentral:misc_RNA from 1 species
GAUUAAGCUUUCACAUACAUCUGGGGUACAUAAGAAAAAGUUGGGAAAGAGAAAAUAAGAAGACUAGAAGAUGGACAAGGACUUCACAGGACUCCAUACACCUAUCCACUAAUCACAAAGAAUAGAACUUCUAGACACUCCAGAAAGAAGGGGGAAAAAUGAACUGAGCAUACAGAACAAAAACAAGAAUAAUAAAUUUAGUUGCAAUGCCUUUCCAAACAUGCAAACAUAUUUAAGAUCAAAAUAUUACCAACGGGAGAUUCUAAAUAUGUCCUUGCCAAGAACAAAAUGACAACAGAAAAAAACAAUUAACUACUAAGAACAUGUUCUAUAUAAGUGAAAAAACUACCAUAAAAUAUGAGAAAAUGCAAUACAGAUUUGCCUUCAUAAUAUCUUCAUCAGAAGUUCUAUACUAAAUUCAAACCUAUAAGUGAAGGAAAAUUUUGGAACUUCAUGUCAG